rnacentral:rRNA from 1 species
AGACCGAUAGCGAACAAGUAGAGUGAUCGAAAGAUGAAAAGCACUUUGGAAAGAGAGUCAAAUAGCACGUGAAAUUGUUGAAAGGGAAGCGCUUGCAGCCAGACUUGCCUGUAGUUGCUUAUCUAGACUUUUGUCUAGUGCACUCUUCUGCGGGCAGGCCAGCAUCAGUCUAGGCGGUUGGAUAAAGGUCUCUGUCAUGUACCUCUCUUCGGGGAGGCCUUAUAGGGGAGACGACAUGCAACCAGCCUGGACUGAGGUCCGCGCAUCUGCUAGGAUGCUGGCGUAAUGGCUGUAAGCGGCCCGUCUUGAAACACGGACCAAG